UACGGGGGGGGCAAGCGUUGUUCGGAAUUACUGGGCGUAAAGGGCUCGUAGGCGGCCAACUAAGUCAGACGUGAAAUCCCUCAGCUUAACUGAGGAACUGCGUCUGAUACUGGAUGGCUUGGAUUCGGGAGAGGGAUGCGGAAUUCCAGGUGUAGCGGUGAAAUGCGUAGAUAUCUGGAGGAACACCGAUGGCGAAGGCAGAUCUCUGGGCCGUAACUGACGCUGAGGAGCGAAAGCGUGGGGAGCGAACAGG
rnacentral:rRNA from 1 species